UGCUAGGUGGCGCAGUGGUCAACGCACCUGCCUAGUAAGCAGGAGAUUCCAGGUUCGAAUCCCGGUCCAGCAC